rnacentral:rRNA from 1 species
CUGGUACUGAGACACGGACCAGACUCCUACGGGAGGCAGCAGUGAGGAAUAUUGGUCAAUGGAGGAAACUCUGAACCAGCCAUGCCGCGUGAAGGAUGACGGCCCUAUGGGUUGUAAACUUCUUUUAUAUGGGAAGAAACUUAUCUACGUGUAGACAACUGACGGU